UUUGGGAAGUUGAGGUAGGAGGAUUGCUUGAGCCCAGGAGUUUGAUGCCAAUCUGGGCAACAAAGUGAUACCUCAUCUCUUCAAAGA
rnacentral:miRNA from 1 species